GGAUGGUAGGCCAGUCAAUAGAACUUAAUGACCCUGCAUGUCUUGCACGUUUUCGCCCGAAUGUCUUCGAGACUAGGUACAUAAUAAUUUGUCACCCGGAUCAAAACCCAUGAUUUGACACCCGGAUCAAAAUCUCCCAUAAACCAGACAUUCAGGGAACCAUGGUAGGCAACUUUAUGUGCUUUUUAGAAUUUACCAUCCAGGAGACGUCAUACAUUUCUUUAUCUCAAUGACCGUAGGGUA
rnacentral:lncRNA from 1 species